rnacentral:lncRNA from 1 species
ACAAGAGGUCCAGAGGCAGCCAGUCCAGGGCUGGGGAAGACAUUGGAUGAUGCUGUCAAGGGGUCAGGAUCUUCUACUCUUGUGGUGCCAUCUUUAGCUGGCGGUUCUCCUCAUGGCCGCUGGAGAGCUGCCGCCCCUUUGGACAUUACACCUGCAUUCCAGAAGGAAGAAGAAAACAGGGCAAUGCGUGAAAGGGCACACCGGCUGACUUUCCCUUUCUGCCCUUGCUGCCUAAAAUGUCUGCUUUUUCCUAUGGACCAAUUUUAUUUUAAAUCAACUUCUAAACAUUCUUCUCGUCAAGAUUCUUAUCAUUGACUGUUUG